GACGAACGCUGGCGGCGUGCUUAACACAUGCAAGUCGAACGGAAAGGCCCUGCUUUUGUGGGGUGCUCGAGUGGCGAACGGGUGAGUAACACGUGAGUAACCUGCCCUUGACUUUGGGAUAACUUCAGGAAACUGGGGCUAAUACCGGAUAGGAGCUCCUGCUUCAUGGUGGGGGUUGGAAAGUUUCGGCGGUUGGGGAUGGACUCGCGGCUUAUCAGCUUGUUGGUGGGGUAGUGGCUUACCAAGGCUUUGACGGGUAGCCGGCCUGAGAGGGUGACCGGACACAUUGGGACUGAGAUGCGGCCCAGACUCCUACGGGAGGCAGCAGUGGGGAAGAUUGCACAAUGGGCGGAAGCCUGAUGCAGCAACGCCGCGUGCGGGAUGACGGCCUUCGGGUUGUAAACCGCUUUCGCCUGUGACGAAGCGUGAGUGACGGUAAUGGGUAAAGAAGCACCGGCUAACUACGUG
rnacentral:rRNA from 1 species